rnacentral:rRNA from 1 species
GACGAACGCUGGCGGCGUGCUUAACACAUGCAAGCCGAACGGCAAGGCCCUGCUUUCGUGGGGUGCUCGAGUGGCGAACGGGUGAGUAACACGUGAGUAACCUGCCCCUGACUUUGUGAUAUCCUCAGGUAACUGGCCCUAAUACCGGAUAGGAGCUCCUGCUGCAUGGUGGGGGUUGGAAAGUUUCGGCGGUUGGGGAUGGCCCCGCGGCUUAUCAGCUUGGUGGUGGGGUUGUGGCUUACCAAGGCCUUGCCGGGUAGCCGGCCUGCGAGGGUGACCGGCCACGUUGGGACUGAGAUACGGCCCAGACGCCUACGGGAGGCAGCGGUGGGGAAUGUUGGACGAUGGGCGGAAGCCUGAAGCAGCAACGCCGCGUGCGGGAUGACGGCGUGCGGGUUGUAGUCCGCGUUCGCCUGUGACGAAGCGUGAGUGACGUUAGUGGGUAAAGAAGCACCGGCUGGCUAGGUG